ensembl:lncRNA
GUGGUUGUGAUCAUUGUCUUACCUGGAAAUCAAUUAUCUACUGGCGUCAGUAUCAGCACCACACCGGAUCCUUUUUAGCUUUUAGUGACACCUGAUGGUCUCUAAGUGUAAUUGGAACACAAUACGAUAUGCAAAUCACUUCCGCUAAUCCUCUUGGAACUUUAUUUUGGUGAUUGUUGUGUAGAAAAUCACAAUAAUCAAAUGAACAAAGCGCUUCUCAACGUGGCCACAGCGUGAAUCAGGUAUGACGGCGUGACCACGUGGAUCGGACACGCUGACAAUCCACAAACACUGGAAGCCAGGGGAGCCGGGGAGCUCCGCCGCCACUCCCGAGGAGGAGGCUAAUCUGGGCACGGGCCGCCCAGGAUCGCUGUUCUGGUCCCGGGCCAGGGCUCCUGGCGAGCUCCCCUGCUCCAAUCAUGAGGCCCACUCAUGGUGGAAGCUCGGCUCGCCGGGCAGCGUGGAGACGCAGCGGUUGAUGGAGGGGGUCAAGAGGAGAGACGAGGAGGUGGAGAGCGGCCCGGCGAGUUGGUCUCGCAAUAAACAGACCGAGGACGAGGAAAGAAUUUAGCAAUCUCAGGGAAAAUGUAAAUGGGGACGUAAAUUGGGGGGUGCUGGAAACGGAGCCGCGGGGAGUCUGAGAGAGGAAAGACAAAUGGAGACAGAGGAAAGAGGUUUCUGGGCAAAAAAGGCUGAGAUGACAAGCAUCGCUUAAAUUUAUUAGCAGUGAGGCGUUUGUCGGUGUGCAGCUGCCCGCGGAAUACAUCAGAGGCUGCAAAUGUUGAUGCAGUGGUAUCAAAGUAUAUAUCAGUCAAUAACUCCGGAGGAGUCGUUGUACAGAAAAGCCAAAGAUGUGUUUGAGGUUGUCUGUUGCCUGCACAUAGUUUGUUCCCCAGAGAGUGCUGCUAAUGCAUUUUUCACCUGGUAUAAGAAAUAUCUUCAUUUGGGAGUCAGAUCAACCUCCUUCAGCACCUGCUGUAGCCAUGUGAUCAUUGAUAUAUAUUUGUUCAUAAGCGAACACUCCCACUGGUUUAUUUUAAAAUGCAGUACUGCAUAGAUGUUAAAACAAUAUUUUGUAUAUCACAAAGAUCACCCUGUAGCUGUUUUUGGUUAUAGUACAAUCCCACAUAGCAAAGGUGUGCUUAGUUGUCAUGUGACCAUAACAAUUUCCAUUUUACCAGGGCUUCUUUAUCGCUUUUUAUGAACAAUUGAUAAUGAUAUUACACCUGGUUUCUAUCAAUUUUCAACCUUUCAGCAAUAUAGUUAUUUUUUCCCUCUGCUAUCCAAAGCUCAAACGGGAUCACCGUUUAUUUCUAUUUUUUUUUUUUAAUAAAAUGACAUUUUUCACGUCAUCCAUGAAGCAAUGACUGUUGUAAAUUCAACUUGCACUCAACCAAUUCAUCCCACUUCACAAACUUUUGGAGAGUUCUAAUUUGUAUUGUGUGAUAGAAAAAGCCUCUCAGCUAGUGCUGACUUUUGGGAGUCGAAUUAUUUGCCUUUCCAAUGGAAGAGAGGAGUCGGAAAGUGAUAGAAAGGAAACCGAACGCAGGGGGAGACGACGCCGGGGAUCUAAAUUCGAAGUGAAGCGUUUCCCGAGCCCGAGCUGCAAACACGGCGGCAGGACAAAGAAGGCGCAAACGGAGAGGUGACAGAGAAACGGAGAGGAAGACUCAAACAGAUGAAAAAAGUUUUUGGACUGACAUAAGUGGAGGACUGAACAAGGAAGAGUAAGGAGGCGCAGAUGGUGG